UGCGUAGGUGGGUUGGUAAGUCAGUGGUGAAAUCUCCGGGCUUAACUCGGAAACUGCCAUUGAUACUAUCAAUCUUGAAUCAUCUGGAGGUAAGCGGAAUAUGUCAUGUAGCGGUGAAAUGCUUAGAUAUGACAUAGAACACCCAUUGCGAAGGCAGCUUACUACGGGUGUAUUGACACUGAGGCACGAAAGCGUGGGGAUCAAACAGGAUUAGAUACCCUGGUAGUCC
rnacentral:rRNA from 1 species